rnacentral:rRNA from 1 species
CAGCAGCCGCGGUAAUACGGAGGGUGCAAGCGUUAAUCGGAAUUACUGGGCGUAAAGCGUGCGUAGGCGGUUCGUUAAGUCUGUUGUGAAAGCCCCGGGCUCAACCUGGGAAUGGCAAUGGAUACUGGCGAGCUAGAGUGUGUCCGAGGAUGGUGGAAUUCCCGGUGUAGCGGUGAAAUGCGUAGAGAUCGGGAGGAACAUCAGUGGCGAAGGCGGCCAUCUGGGACAACACUGACGCUGAGGCACGAAAGCGUGGGGAGCAAACGGGAUUAGAUACCCCCGUAGUCCCUGUCUCUUAUAC